rnacentral:rRNA from 1 species
UACGUAGGGUGCGAGCGUUAAUCGGAAUUACUGGGCGUAAAGCGUGCGUUAGGCGGUCCCGCAAGUCCGACUGUGAAAGCCCCGAGCUUAACUUGGGAACUGCAGUGGAAACUAUGGGACUUGAAUCCGGCAGGAGGGGGUGGAAUGCCACGUGGUAGCAAGUGAAUGCGUAGAGAUGUGGCGGAACACCGAUGGCGAAGGCAGCCCCUGGGCUGAGAUUGACGCUCAGGCACGAAAGCGUGGGGAGCAAACAGG